ACGAACGCUGGCGGCGUGCUUAACACAUGCAAGUCGAACGGUGAAGCGCCUUCCUUUUUGGUGGGUGUGGAUGAGUGGCGAACGGGUGAGUAACACGUGAGUAACCUGCCCCCUUCUUCUGGAUAACCGCAUGAAAGUGUGGCUAAUACGGGAUAUUCUGGGUCUGUCGCAUGAUGGGUCUGGGAAAGAUAUUGUUUCGGUGGGGGAUGGGCUCGCGGCCUAUCAGCUUGUUGGUGGGGUGAUGGCCUACCAAGGCGGUGACGGGUAGCCGGCCUGAGAGGGUGGACGGUCACACUGGGACUGAGACACGGCCCAGACUCCUACGGGAGGCAGCAGUGGGGAAUAUUGCACAAUGGGCGCAAGCCUGAUGCAGCGACGCCGCGUGAGGGAUGGAGGCCUUCGGGUUGUGAACCUCUUUCGCCAGUGAAGCAGGCCUGCCUCGUUUGUGGGUGGGUUGACGGUAGCCGGAUAAGAAGCGCCGGCUAACUACGUG
rnacentral:rRNA from 1 species